AUCUUCCUAGUACUAACUGCUAGUAUAGGCGACUUCCAAUCACCAGAUCUUGGUUAAAAUCCAAGGUAAGAUA
rnacentral:tRNA from 1 species